rnacentral:rRNA from 1 species
AACGAACGCUGGCGGCAUGCCUAACACAUGCAAGUCGAACGAGACCUUCGGGUCUAGUGGCGCACGGGUGCGUAACGCGUGGGAAUCUGCCCUUUGCUUCGGAAUAACAGUUAGAAAUGACUGCUAAUACCGGAUGAUGUCUUCGGACCAAAGAUUUAUCGGCAAAGGAUGAGCCCGCGUAGGAUUAGGUAGUUGGUGGGGUAAAGGCCUACCAAGCCGACGAUCCUUAGCUGGUCUGAGAGGAUGAUCAGCCACACUGGGACUGAGACACGGCCCAGACUCCUACGGGAGGCAGCAGUGGGGAAUAUUGGACAAUGGGCGAAAGCCUGAUCCAGCAAUGCCGCGUGAGUGAUGAAGGCCUUCGGUCGUAAAGACUCUUUACCUAGGAUGAUAAUAGACAGUACCUGGAGAAGU